rnacentral:rRNA from 1 species
UACGGGGGGAGCAAGCGUUGUUCGGAUUUACUGGGCGUAAAGGGCGCGUAGGCGGCCUGUUAAGUCGAACGUGAAAUCCCCGGGCUCAACCCGGGAACUGCGUCCGAUACUGGCAGGCUUGAAUCCGGGAGAGGGAUGCGGAAUUCCAGGUGUAGCGGUGAAAUGCGUAGAUAUCUGGAGGAACACCGGUGGCGAAGGCGACAUCCUGGACCGGUAUUGACGCUGAGGCGCGAAAGCUAGGGGAGCAAACGGG